CUUAUGCUGCCAAGAAAAGCCUCUAGCGAGUGUUAAAGCCGCCCGUACCCCAAACCGACACAGGUGGUCAGGUAGAGAAUACUAAGGCGAUCGAGAUAACUAUGGUUAAGGAACUCGGCAAAAUGCCCCCGUAACUUCGGGAGAAGGGGGGCCCGUUCUGGUGAGGAGAUUUACUCUCCGAGCUGGGAUUGGCCGCAGAGACCAGGCCCAAGCGACUGUUUACUAAAAACACAGGUCCAUGCUAAGUCGCAAGACGCUGUAUAUGGACUGACGCCUGCCCGGUGCUGGAACGUUAAGGGGACGGGUUAGCGACUUCGGUCGCGAAGCUCAGAACUUAAGCGCCAGUAAACGGCGGUGGUAACUAUAACCAUCCUAAGGUAGCGAAAUUCCUUGUCGGGUAAGUUCCGACCUGCACGAAUGGCGUAACGACUUGGGCGCUGUCUCAACCGUAGACUCGGCGAAAUUGCACUACGAGUAAAGAUGCUCGUUACGCGCGGCAGGACGGAAAGACCCCGGGACCUUUACUACAGCUUGGUAUUGGUGGUCGAUUCGAUUUGUGUAGGAUAGGUGGGAGACUGUGAACUUCGGACGCCAGUUCGAAGGGAGUCAUCGUUGAAAUACCACUCUGAUCGUAUUGGCUGUCUAACCUAGAUCCGUAAUCCGGAUCAGGGACAGUGCCUGGUGGGUAGUUUAACUGGGGCGGUUGCCUCCUAAAAUGUAACGGAGGCGCUCAAAGGUUCCCUCAGCCUGGUUGGCAAUCAGGUAUCGAGUGUAAGUGCACAAGGGAGCUUGACUGUGAGACUGACGGGUCGAGCAGGGACGAAAGUCGGAACUAGUGAUCCGGCGCUGGCAAGUGGAAGCGGCGUCGCUCAACGGAUAAAAGGUACCCCGGGGAUAACAGGCUGAUCUUGCCCAAGAGUCCAUAUCGACGGCAUGGUUUGGCACCUCGAUGUCGGCUCGUCGCAUCCUGGGGCUGGAGUAGGUCCCAAGGGUUGGGCUGUUCGCCCAUUAAAGCGGCACGCGAGCUGGGUUUAGAACGUCGUGAGACAGUUCGGUCACUAUCCGCCGCGCGCGUAAGAGUCUUGAGAAGAUCUGUCCCUAGUACGAGAGGACCGGGAUGGACGAACCUCUGGUGUGUCAGUUGUCCUGCCAAGGGCACUGCUGAUUAGCUACGUUCGGAAGAGAUAACCGCUGAAAGCAUCUAAGCGGGAAACUCGCUUCAAGAUGAGGGCUCUCACAGGGUUAACCUGGUAAGGCCCCCAGUAGACCACUGGGUUGAUAGGCCGGAAGUGGAAGUGCGGUAACGCAUGCAGCUGACCGGUACUAAUAGGCCGAGGACUUGAGC
rnacentral:rRNA from 1 species